rnacentral:tRNA from 1 species
CGCGGGGUAGAGCAGUUGGUAGCUCGUCGGGCUCAUAACCCGGAGGUCGUUGGUUCGAAUCCUUCCCCGCAA